GAGGUUGAUUUCACAGCUCUGUGGGCUAGAUGCCAAGCUAAGAGCUUGGACAAUUGCCCAAUCGAUGAAAAGUUGUUUUGUUGUGGUUUGUCUCCAGGCACAGAAUGCACAAAUAAAGAACAGUUAUAGGGGAAGUUCAGCCUGGGAUGAUACGAUUUUAGGUCUCCUUCAGAAACUAUUUUGAUUUCUUUCUUCUGCAUCUGUACUUUCCUCCUGACUUCCCCUCCCCUUCCUUUGUUAAUGAAAUUCCUAUCUAAGAGUUGAAAGAUUCCCCAUGAGAGCUCAAAUAAAAAGCCAGUGUGUGAACAAGCCUGUGGGAAGAUGCACUCCAAAUGGGAGAGAGUGUGCAGUGGUUCGUGUGACCAUCAGUGGAAAUGUUUCUGAAGAGUCUUCCCUGAUGGAAGUAACACUUGGCAGCAAAGAAGAAAAAGAAGAUGGCUGUCUGGUCGAGAGCAACUAGAGAGAUCAUUACUCCAUUAACCAAAGCCUCCGUGAUGGCAGAAGGAUGGCCCCCCAAAGAUGGCCAUGUCCUAAUCCCCAGAACCUGAAGGGGCCACAAGCCCACAGCAAAGAGCAGAGGACCUCAGUCGUGCCCCUGCAUGGAACUGAAUUCUGCUGGCAAACCCAGUGAGCAGGGAAACAGAUUCUUCCCCCCGGGAGUUUCCGGUAAGGAAUACAGUUCUGAUGAUAGCAGAGCUAUAUUGUGUUGGGCUUCUGAUCUAUAUAGAACUGUGAGACACAAAUUUAUGUUUUUUAAGGUACUACAUUUGUGGUAAUUUGUUUUGGCAGCAACUUCCCACCCCACAGUGUAAAAGCCAAGCUGCUCAGAAUCCCCAUCUCCCUUUCUCUCUGAUGUCAUUUCCUACUACUCUCCCCUGGGCUCCCCUCACCCCCUCCAUCAACUCCAGGGCCUGGACCAGAGUGAAACUUGUGAGACAUGGACCUUGAGAUGCCAAAACAUUUAGUAAUCAAGAUAAAUAAUAUUUUAAUGACAUAUCAUCAUUAAUACAAAAGAAAAAGACAAAACUUUGGAAGAAAGGCAGGAUCCAACCCUGCGUUUGUACGCCUCGCCUUUGGCUAAUCCUAGACCUGAUCUUUGUUGCUCUGAACCCUCCAGGCACACUCAACCCCCAGUGCUUUGCCAUUUGCUUUUGCCCUAAAUAUCUGCAAGCCUUUCUCCCUCACCUGCUUCAGUCUUUGCUCAAAUUUCCCCCUUCUUAAUGAGCUUUCCCUGACCCUCUAUAUAAAGUUGCAAUGCCUCACGCCAGCACUCCUGGGCCCCCCUUGCUUUAUAUUUCCCCAAACAUGUUACAUGUCUAAUAUUCUAUUUUAUUAAUUUACUACUGUAGGGAAGAUAACAUUUCUUCUUUACCCAUCGAAGGUUUCUGGCAGGGAUGUCUUAACAGGUGAAGAGGAGGAGAGAAUACAAAUUUCAUUUAAUAAAAGUUUGCCCGUACAUAGGAGUCUUCACAGGAAAAGAAAGAUCCAAAGAAGCAUCUAGGCCCCAGGGCUUAUGUACGACGUUGAAAGGAGAGUGACGAUUGUGGAGAAGUAACUAAAAUAUAUGGGGAGACUAGAAGAUAAAAGUUAUUUUAAUAAGGUCUGUUUGUACAAAUUUCCCUCGACCUUGACUCCCCAUCUCUGGUGAUAAAAAUGUUCUUUUCCUCCUGGUGUUAGGAGGGCAUCUUUCACAUUCGGAGUUUCAUCUCCUGUUUUCAGGAAGAAGAGGAAAGGUCAAAGUGCUUUCUUUGCACCUGUUGGUUUUCAAGUGACUUUAGCUCAAAAUAAUAUGUCAAAGGAGCAUAUUUUGAGGUGGCAUGUUCUGAGCCCCUUUAUUUCUUAUUGUUUGCUGCUGUUUCAUCAAGGCCUAACAGUAUGUGGCAGGUGUAGGCCUUCAAUUGGGAAGGAAUGGAGGCAGGGAGAGAGGGGGAGGGCAAGAGAGGAAGGAAGGAGAAGGAAGAACAAAAGUGUGGCUAGUGUUGGUGGGGGAACAGGGCAGGUAUAUGUAUUCAAGGAAGACUUUCCCCUCGGUUUAUUGAAACCUAAAAUCCCUGAAGAACUGUAGUAAAUUUCAAUCUGUCUAAGGAAAUAUUGAUUUAUAAGCAGGGUUAUUUUUUCCUCUCCCAAAGGGGAAAGCCAUCCAGAGCCAGUAUAGUCUAUUAGGUUAAUUAGCAGAUUUGGAUUAGCUGUGUGCUUUCUUUUCUAGGGCAUUAGCUAAAUUCUGUUUCCACUGAAAUUCUGGGAAAUGUUUGAAUCCCAUGCAGUUUGCCCCAAGUCCUUUGAGACAGAGUCUCUGCAAGCUAUAUUUAAUGAUCCCUAGAGGUUUUAUUCUUGUCUAGUUUACUCUCAACAAAUGAAAAUUCAAUUUUGAUGA